GGCGGGUUGGCAGAUCAUGUGGUCGACUUAGGAUCGAAGGAGGGGGUUUCUAAUACCUCACCCGCUU
rnacentral:tRNA from 1 species